CCCUUAGAUGUCCGGGGCCGCACGCGCGCUACACUGAAGGAAUCAGCGUGGCUUUCUCCCUGACCCGAAAGGGUUGGGAAACCCGUUGAAUCUCCUUCGUGAUAGGGAUUGGGGCUUGAAAUUGUUCCCCAUGAACGAGGAAUUCCCAGUAAGCGCGAGUCAUAAGCUCGCGUUGAUUACGUCCCUGCCCUUUGUACACACCGCCCGUCGCUACUACCGAUUGAACGGUUUAGUGAGGGCCUCGGAUUGGUCUCGGCCCGCUCUUCACCGGGCGGCGCCGUUGGUCGAGAGGACGCUCGAACUUGAUCGUUUAGAGGAAGUAAAAGUCGUAACA
rnacentral:rRNA from 1 species